rnacentral:rRNA from 1 species
UACGUAGGGGGCAAGCGUUGUCCGGAUUUAUUGGGCGUAAAGCGCGCGUAGGCGGCGCGGUAUGUCGUGCGUGAAAUCUCCCGGCUUAACUGGGAGGGGCCGUGCGAAACUGCCGGGCUUGAGGUCGGAAGGGGAAAGUGGAAUUCCGGGUGUAGUGGUGGAAUACGUAGAUAUCCGGAGGAACACCAGCGGCGAAGGCGGCUUUCUGGUCCGAUACUGACGCUGAGGCACGAAAGCGUGGGUAGCAAACAGG